rnacentral:misc_RNA from 1 species
UUAUUAUUAUUAUUAUUAUUAUUAUUAUUAUUAUUAUAUAAUAAUAUAUUAUAUAUAAUAAUAUAUAUAUAUAAUAUACGGUAUAUAUAUUAUAGUUUAAUAUGAUACAAUCAGUAAAUAAAGAAGUUGACGUUAAAGCAACCAAUGGCUAUCGGUCAUUGACUAGCCCAGUCAUCAGAAACACACGACUAGUUACGGUAGAACCUGUUAUAGCAGGUUUCAUGAUGGCAGAUGGUAUAUUUUAUGGUGUUCAGUCAGAAUUCAUUCAAGGAAGAAUUGCUAUCCUCCAUAAUUACACUUUGCCAAACAACGCUGAAAAUGGAACGUGUUCCGUGAACGAGUCCAACGCACAGAGUAAGUUGCAAAGCGAGAUUCAGGCCGAAACAUCGGAGUGGUUGAUGUACUUUACACUAGCCUACGCUUUACCAUCGAUAUUUAUGACCGUAAUAAUUGGGGCAUGGAGCGACUCUGUUGGAAGAAGGUUCGCUAUUCUGACAUCUUCCGCUGGAACUCUUAUUAAUUUCAUCACUUGGACACUUGUUGCUCAUUUUGAACUUCAUCUAGAAAUCUUAAUCGCCUCAUCGUUUGUAAGAGGAUUAUGUGGAGCCACAUCUCUCUUCAAUGCUUCUUGUUUUACAUACAUAUGUGACGUUACUACAAAAGAAAACAGAACACCGAGAAUAAUUGUAUGUGAGUGUGUUUUAUUGCUUUCGCUAAGUAUUGGUCAAUUGUGUGGAGGAUUUCUCGUUGAUUAUCUCGAUUUUACGAUUACGUUUACUAUCUCGGUUUGUUUUACCUCUAUGGCAAUUAUUUACACAUCGAUACCAUAUAUGCUCCGGGAAACUAUUCUCCUCAAAACCAGAUUUAAAGAAAAUUUGACAAGAUCUAUAAACGGUGUUAAGAAUGUACUGGCUGAAAAAGAUGUGGAGUAUAGAAAAACAUUUUAUAUUAUUAAUUUUGUAUUCUUCAUUGUAAUGACUUUUACAACUGCAAACUCGCCAUACGGAUUGCUGAUUGUUCAUUUUCUUGGUGAACCAUUUUGUUUUUCAUUCCUGUUAUUGUCGUAUUAUUCAGCUGCGAUGUCAUUUAGUCCAGCACUUGGAUUGGUUAUGUGCGCUUUAUUUUUGAAAAGAUGGCUUGACGAUUAUUGGCUUCUUCAUCUCAGCAUGUGUUCCGCCAUGCUAUUCUUCUAUGUUGGUGCCGCUGCUAAAACAACAGCAGUUGCAUUUGUCGUUCAGUUGAUCUUUUCUAGGAGUCGGACUUGGAAUCUUCAAGACCUUAUUUGGACCAUCGUGCCGAUCCUUAGUCUCCAAGAGUUCCUCUCCUCAGGAACAGGGUGCUGUUUUUGGAUUCUUAGGGAUGGCAGAUGCAUUAGCAGGUAUUGCCUCGCCUCUUAUUCUUAACAACAUAUAUUCAGUGACUGUCUACAGCACGCCUACGUUCGUGUUCUGGAUGUGUGGCAGUUUCUGCCUGUUACCAAUUAUAGCAGUCAGUUAUCUGCAGCUUAAUAACCAUAACAAGAAACAGAAAAUAUUUAUAGAUGUGAAUUCAGAUAUAACACCAGAUAACCCCUCUAUGAUGAAUUGAGGAUUUCGUCAGGACCUGUCAAGACUAGAGACGAAGAACAUACUUACCGUACCAUAUUUUCUAAACUAACACAGACAUUUUCAGGUGGACCAGUAUAUUUGGUGUAAUAUAUAUUGUAUCCAUGUUCAUAUCUAAAGAUGCGUUCUUCAAUCAAUUGAAGAAUGUACAGAAUUGACACAAGUUGGAUGAACCCAUAAAAAAUAGAAAACAUUACUGUAAACUAGACCAGACACUAAUUUCCCAAGUUGACGCAAGGGAAACAGGGAUAGGAAUUUAACAUGGGACAGAAAAAUCCGAAAGGAUUUUUAUGGUCCAGCACACGUACAAUUGAUAAUACCAAUUUAGCCUAAUGAACUAAACAUAUAUGUCUAUAUCUCUAUGAUAAAUCAACGUCUAUUUAAGUUUGCCUAAUGUUAUUUAAUGUGCAUCCAAACGAUAGCAAUAUAUACUUGAGUUGUUUCACUA